rnacentral:tRNA from 1 species
AGGAUAAUAAUUUAAAAAAAAUAUUUAAUUUGCAUUUAAAAAAUAUUGUUAUCAAUUUAUCUU